rnacentral:snRNA from 1 species
GGAUGUGAGGGCGAUCUGGCUGCGACAUCUGUCACCCCAUUGAUCGCCAGGGUUGAUUCGGCUGAUCUGGCUGGCUAGGCGGGUGUCCCCUUCCUCCCUCACCGCUCCAUGUGCGUCCCUCCCGAAGCUGCGCGCUCGGUCGAAGAGGAUGACCUUCCCCGAUAGAGGAGAGGACCGUACUUCGGUCAAGGGUAUACGAGUAGCUGCGCUCCCCUGCUAGAAUCUCCAAACAAGCUCACAUACACUCAUUAUAUGGGUCCCAUUCAUUUUCUCUUUUCAAUAGUAUUAGAUAAGGAUUUCCCCUUUACCU